AGCCUGAUGCAGCGACGCCGCGUGGGGGAUGACGGCCUUCGGGUUGUAAACCUCUUUCAGCACAGACGAAGCGCAAGUGACGGUAUGUGCAGAAGAAGCACCGGCCAACUACGUGCCAGCAGCCGCGGUAAUACGUAGGGUGCGAGCGUUGUCCGGAAUUACUGGGCGUAAAGAGCUUGUAGGUGGUUUGUCGCGUUGUUCGUGAAAUCUCACGGCUCAACUGUGAGCGUGCGGGCGAUACGGGCAGACUAGAGUACUGCAGGGGAGACUGGAAUUCCUGGUGUAGCGGUGGAAUGCGCAGAUAUCAGGAGGAACACCGGUGGCGAAGGCGGGUCUCUGGGCAGUAACUGACGCUGAGAAGCGAAAGCGUGGGGAGCGAACAGGAUUAGAUACCCUGGUAGUCCACGCCGUAAACGGUGGGUACUAGGUGUGGGUUUCCUUCCUUGGGAUCCGUGCCGUAGCUAACGCAUUAAGUACCCCGCCUGGGGAGUACGGCCGCAAGGCUAAAACUCAAAGAAAUUGACGGGGGCCCGCACAAGCGGCGGAGCAUGUGGAUUAAUUCGAUGCAACGCGAAGAACCUUACCUGGGCUUGACAUGCACUGGAAACACCUAGAGAUAGGUGCCCCCUUGUG
rnacentral:rRNA from 1 species